UCCGAAGGGGGCUAUCGUUGUUCGGAAUUACUGGGCGUAAAGCGCGUGUAGGCGGGCCGUUAAGUCGGGGGUGAAAGCCCAGAGCUCAACUCUGGAACUGCCUUCGAUACUGGCGGCCUGGAGCAUGAUAGAGGCGAGUGGAAUUGCGAGUGUAGAGGUGAAAUUCGUAGAUAUUCGCAGGAACACCAGUGGCGAAGGCGACUCGCUGGAUCAUUGCUGACGCUGAGACGCGAAAGCGUGGGGAGCAAACAGG
rnacentral:rRNA from 1 species